rnacentral:rRNA from 1 species
UACAGAGGUCCCGAGCGUUGUUCGGAUUCACUGGGCGUAAAGGGUGCGUAGGCGGUCGGGUAAGUCUGAUGUGAAAUCUCACAGCUUAACUGUGAAACUGCAUUGGAUACUAUUCGGCUUGAGAGUUGGAGGGGGGACUGGAAUUCUCGGUGUAGCAGUGAAAUGCGUAGAUAUCGAGAGGAACACCAGUGGCGAAGGCGGCUCACUGGCCCGAUACUGACGCUGAGGCACGAAAGCGUGGGGAGCAAACAGG